rnacentral:rRNA from 1 species
GUUAGGAAUCUUCGUCAAUGGGCGAAAGCCUGAACGAGCGAUACCGCUUGAAGGAUGAAGCCUUUCGGGGUGUAAACUUCUGAACUAGGGACGAUAAUGACGGUACCUAGGUAAUAGCACCGGCUAACUCCGUGCCAGCAGCCGCGGUAAUACGGAGGGUGCGAGCGUUACCCGGAUUUACUGGGUGUAAAGGGCGUGUAGGCGGUUUCUCAAGUCCGGUGCUAAAGACCGAAGCUCAACUUCGGGAGUGCGCUGGAUACUGUGAAGCUAGACGGUCGGAGAGGGUAGCGGAAUUCUCGGAGUAGCGGUGAAAUGCGCAGAUACCGAGAGGAACGCCAAUAGCGAAAGCAGCUACCUGGACGAUUUGUGACGCUGAGGCGCGAAAGCGUGGGGAGCAAACCGGAUUAGAAACCCUUGUAGUCC